CGUGCGGGCCGGGCCCCUCUGACAGUCGCUUUUGGCGAUUGUGAUGUCGGACCGCUUAA
rfam:Mesorhizobium sp. LNHC252B00 scaffold0001, whole genome shotgun sequence.